AGAGUUUGAUCCUGGCUCAGAACGAACGCUGGCGGCGUGGAUAAGACAUGCAAGUCGAACGAGAGAAUUGCUAGCUUGCUAAUAAUUCUCUAGUGGCGCACGGGUGAGUAACACGUGAGUAACCUGCCCCCGAGAGCGGGAUAGCCCUGGGAAACUGGGAUUAAUACCGCAUAGAAUCGCAAGAUUAAAGCAGCAAUGCGCUUGGGGAUGGGCUCGCGGCCUAUUAGUUAGUUGGUGAGGUAACGGCUCACUAAGGCGAUGACGGGUAGCCGGUCUGAGAGGAUGUCCGGCCACACUGGAACUGAGACACGGUCCAGACACCUACGGGUGGCAGCAGUCGAGAAUCAUUCACAAUGGGGGAAACCCUGAUGGUGCGACGCCGCGUGGGGGAAUGAAGGUCUUCGGAUUGUAAACCCCUGUCAUGUGGGAGCAAAUUAAAAAGAUAGUACCACAAGAGGAAGAGACGGCUAACUCUGUGCCAGCAGCCGCGGUAAUACAGAGGUCUCCAGCGUUGUUCGGAAUCACUGGGCGUAAAGCGUGCGUAGGCUGUUUCGUAAGUCGUGUGUGAAAGGCGCGGGCUCAACCCGCGGACGGCACAUGAUACUGCGAGACUAGAGUAAUGGAGGGGGAACCGGAAUUCUCGGUGUAGCAGUGAAAUGCGUAGAUAUCGAGAGGAACACUCGUGGCGAAGGCGGGUUCCUGGACAUUAACUGACGCUGAGGCACGAAGGCCAGGGGAGCGAAAGGGAUUAGAUACCCCUGUAGUCCUGGCAGUAAACGGUGCACGCUUGGUGUGCGGGGAAUCGACCCCCUGCGUGCCGGAGCUAACGCGUUAAGCGUGCCG
rnacentral:rRNA from 1 species